GGAGUUAGCCGGUGCUUCUUCUGCGAGUAACGUCACAGAUGUAAGGUAUUAACUUACACCCUUUCCUCCUCGCUGAAAGUGCUUUACAACCCGAAGGCCUUCUUCACACACGCGGCAUGGCUGCAUCAGGGUUUCCCCCAUUGUGCAAUAUUCCCCACUGCUGCCUCCCGUAGGAGUCUGGGCCGUGUCUCAGUCCCAGUGUGGCUGAUCAUCCUCUCAGACCAGCUAGGGAUCGUCGCCUAGGUGAGCCUUUACCUCACCUACUAGCUAAUCCCACCUGGGCUUAUCCAUCAGCGCAAGGCCCGAAGGUCCCCUGCUUUCCCCCGUAGGGCGUAUGCGGUAUUAGCAGUCGUUUCCAACUGUUAUCCCCCACAAAUGGGCAAAUUCCCAGGCAUUACUCACCCGUCCGCCGCUCGUCAUAUUCAAAAGCAAGCUUUUGAAAUGUUACCGCUCGACUUGCAUGUGUUAGGCCUGCCGCCAGCGUUCAAUCUGAGCCAUGAUCAAACUCUGA
rnacentral:rRNA from 1 species